rnacentral:tRNA from 2 species
GGGCUUGUAGCUCAGUGGAUAGAGCGACGGCCUCCUAAGCCGUAGGUCGGCAGUUCGAAUCUGCCCAAGCUCGCCA